AUGGAUCAUUACCGAAACUCUAAAACAAGAGGCGGUUUGUUUUGAUGACUCUUUGGAGACAUCGACAACCGUUUCACCCCAUUGUGAACCUUGAGAAGAACAUAUUUUUAAAACUCCUAUUCAUAAAAUGGUUCUAAAGAUGAAUGAAACAUUUUGAUUCACACUCGAAAUGUUUGAUAUCAAUCGUUACAAACUACAACUUUUAACAACGGAUAUCUUGGCUCUC
rnacentral:misc_RNA from 1 species